rnacentral:tRNA from 1 species
GAGGGUAUAGCUCAGUAGUAGAGUGCAUGCUUAGCAUGCACGAGGUCCUGAGUUCAAUCCCCAGUACCUCCA